ACGUUCUAGAUUCCUAGAUAAUUCAAGAAAUAAUCAAUGGAGAGUAUAUAACCAUGGAUCAACCAGACUGUGGUCAGAAUCAGAAAAGAAUUCGUACAGUUCUACUUCAAAGUAACAGAGAACUGACAUUACACAAGGUGUGUAUAUAUCCAGCACACAGCUAGCGAGCGACAUAAAGCAACCGAUACUCUACUUUCGUUUUGACUCCACUUGAAGACAGACAUGGCAAGCUCACGUAAAGGACCAGCUAUUGGAAUAGAUCUCGGUACAACGUAUUCAUGUGUCGGAGUAUUCCAACAUGGAAAGGUGGAAAUAAUUGCCAAUGACCAGGGAAACAGGACUACGCCUAGUUAUGUGGCCUUUACAGACUCUGAGAGAUUAAUUGGGGACGCUGCCAAGGGACAAGUAGCCAUGAACCCACAAAACACUAUUUUUGAUGCAAAACGACUCAUCGGUCGAAAGUUUGAUGACCAGCAUGUCCAGUCGGACAUGAAACAUUGGCCGUUUAGGGUUGUCAAUAACGCAGGUAAACCAAAGAUUCAGGUGGACUGCAAAGGAGACACAAAUAAACAGUUCACACCAGAGGAAAUCAGUUCCAUGGUUCUAACUAAAAUGAAGGAGACGGCAGAAGCUUUCUUGGGUCACCCGGUCAAGGAUGCUGUGAUCACGGUGCCAGCCUACUUCAACGACUCUCAGAGACAGGCGACAAAGGACGCUGGUGUGAUUGCUGGACUUAACGUUCUCCGAAUUAUCAACGAACCGACGGCUGCGGCGCUGGCAUAUGGAUUGGACAAAAACCUCAAAGACGAGAAAAACGUUCUCAUCUUUGACCUGGGUGGAGGAACCUUUGAUGUGUCCAUUUUGACUAUCGAUGAGGGGUCGAUAUUCGAGGUGAGAUCUACUGCUGGUGACACACACUUGGGUGGUGAAGAUUUCGACAACAGAGUAGUCAAUCAUUUUGUACAGGAGUUCAAACGGAAACAUGGCAAAGACUUGAGUAAGAAUAGCAAGGCUUUGAGAAGGCUUCGAACUGCAUGUGAACGUGCCAAACGAACCCUUUCGAGCAACAGUGAGGCAAGUCUCGAAAUUGAUUCUCUGUUUGAGGGUAUUGACUUUUACAGUAAGCUCACGAGAGCUAGAUUCGAGGACUUGUGUGCCGACUUAUUCCGUGCUACUCUAGAACCUGUGGAAAAGGCACUUCGUGAUGCAAAGAUGGACAAAUCGAAAAUCCACGAGGUCGUCUUGGUUGGCGGAUCUACACGUAUACCAAAAAUACAAAAGAUGCUCGAAGAUUUCAUGAAUGGAAAACAGCUCAACAAAUCCAUCAACCCCGAUGAAGCUGUAGCGUACGGUGCCGCGGUUCAGGCUGCCGUGCUUACUGGCGACAGUAGUGACGUCAUCAAGGAUGUUCUUCUCGUGGACGUGGCGCCUUUGUCCCUCGGAAUAGAAACAGCUGGAGGUGUGAUGACAAAAUUGAUCGAAAGAAACACAAGGAUUCCAACAAAAACGUCACAGACAUUUACAACGAAUUCUGAUAACCAGCCUGGUGUUAGUAUUCAAGUGUUCGAGGGAGAACGAGUUAUGACAAAAGACAAUAACCAAAUGGGAAAGUUUGAACUAAACGGCAUCCCUCCUGCACCCCGAGGUGUUCCUCAGAUCGAAGUUCAGUUCGAUAUUGAUGCUAAUGGAAUACUCAAUGUGUCAGCCGAGGACAAAAGUACGGGGAAAUCCAACAAAAUCACCAUCACAAACGACAGGGGACGACUGAGCAAAGAAGACAUUGAGAAAAUGGUGGCCGACGCGGAAAGAUAUAAAGACGAAGACGAGAAACAGAGAAAAAGAGUUUCGGCCAGGAACCAACUCGAGAAUUACAUUUUUAGUGUCAAACAGGCCAUGGAAAACGCUGGUGACAAAGUUUCGUCGGAGGAAAAAUCAAUUGUCUGUAAGGGUUGUGAGGACAAUCUGAAGUGGUUGGACAGUAACACAAUGGCUGACGCGGAGGAAUACGAAUAUCAACUAAAUGAAUUCCAGAAACUGUGUUCACCAAUCAUGACCAAACUACACAGGGGUUCCGAACAGGGCAAUGGUGGGGCACCCCAUGGAGGCUGUGGCCAGGAGGCACAAUGAGGGGCAAGUACGGGCCCAACGGUGGAGGAAGUGUACUAAUGAACCGGAGUUGCAAUUACUGUUUGAACUUUAGUAAAAUGGAUAUUGAUGAAACAUGAAGUUAAGCCUUUGCAAUUGAAUUUUUUUAUUCUUGUUUUGAAAUAUUAACCAUUCAUCUUUGAAUAUUUAUUGGUCAAAUAAAUGUAUACUUUAUACAUAUAUUUGAUAUAUGUCAUGCUGUUUUGUACGCGUCACUUUACACGCGCAUCUUAUAAAUUGCCAAUGUUUAUAC